GGCAGAGGAGAGGGAGAGAGAGAAUCCCAAGCCUGCUCUGGGCUGUCAGUGCAGAGCCCUGUGGGGGGCUCCAUCUCACGAACCGUGUGAUCAGGACUUGAGCUGAAAUCAAGAAUGAGAUGCUUAACCAACUGAGCCACCCAGGGCUGAAGCAAGCACAUCUGAACGGGUCUGGCUGCUCUGGGCAGCUGGGGAAGGGCACCCACAGUGUUCUGAACAGAGUUGGAAGAACACCAGCGCUGAGAUGAGUCAGAGCCUCUCAAAGUGUGUGGUACCAAAGCAAUGCAGCACUGAAACUGUCUGUGCCAGCCUUCAAAGAUGCAUGUAGCCAGGGCCUCCCUUCAGGGGGCAGAUGAUGGAACCAUCAGUUUCAGUGAUGCCAGAGAUUUCCCAAGGAAUACGAAGAGAACUGACACUUACUCUGCACCUCCUUGAUGCCAACACCAAGUAUGGCAUUGUAUCUACUUUAUCUCGUUGAAUCCCAACAUCAACCCUACAAAGCAGAUAGAGAUGGGGGUGGGGAAGGUCCCCGUGUGGCCACCCAACCUAAAUUCAGAGACAGUAGUUUAAGGAUAGGAUCUGGAAAUCUGGUGGCAAGGGACCCAGGUGUUUGAAGAAUUAAGGAGGGCCUGAGAAAUAGCUCCUUCUACGGAGAAUGGGGCAUAUUCGGAUAGAAGUGGGAGGGGUGUCAUGAGUAUUGUCAACUGCCUGUCACUAACAUCAUCUGCUGACUCUGCUGUGGGGGUUUUGCCUUAAUCCUCCUGAGACUGCACAAAAGAGCAGAAACAAACAAAGCCAUUUCACUUGAAAGCUAUUGAGGCAGAAUGUUAUGACCUGAGGCACCCUUGCUGGGCAGCUCAGGUGGCAGAGUGCAGCCCACGGGACUCUGGAGAGACUAGACACAGACAGCACACAGUGACCUGGAGCAUGAAGGCAUAGGGCACCUGCAGCCUCAGCCUAGGCCUUGGCCAGUGGGCAAUAGACUACCCCUGACAUCAGAGCUGGGUAACAGGGACAUGGUCAACUCACUCCAUGGGCUGCUUGGAUGACUAUAGCUCUUUAAGAAUGUCACGAGACAGCCACUGGCUCCAUGUCACAUGCCCCCUCCCCACUCCCAGAGCCAUUUGGGAGGAAGUCAAAGAGGCCUAUUCCACAACUGCUACUUUUGCUGGCACAUUUUCAUCACUCUCCGUUCCCACA